UGUCAGUCAAGCCAGCAGAAGCAACAAGCACCAUGACCCUCAUCACCAUCCUCAUCUGGACGCUGACCUGCUGCUGUUUUACAGGAUGCAGCGCUCAGAUCACUGUGACUCAACCUGCAGUGGAGACAUUUACACCAGGAUCCACUGUCACUAUCAGAUGUACAACAAAUCAGGAUGUUUACAGUGACAUGUUUUUGUCCUGGUAUCAGCAGAAACCAGAACAGUCUCCAAAGCUCCUGAUAUAUUUGGUGGAUAAUCUUGAGUCAGGAACUCCAGCUCGGUUUAGUGGCAGUGGAAGCAGCUCUGCCUUCACUUUGACCAUCAGUGGAGUUCAGGCUGAAGAUGCUGCAGUUUAUUACUGUCAGAGUUACCAUGAAAUAGAUGAUGCCUCAGUGUUCACUUUUGGUGGAGGAACCAAACUCGUCGUUGACUUGGGUGUGUUGCGGCCCACCCUGACCGUCCUCCCCCCCUCCAAAGAGCAGCAGCAGCAGCAGCAGCAGCAGAGCAGCGUCACACUGGUGUGUCUGGCCAGCGGGGGCUUCCCCUCCACCUGGACGCUGGGCUGGAAGGUGGGGGGCAGCAGCAGGUCCUCAGGGGUGUCUAGCAGCCUGGAGGUGCUGGGGGGGGACGGCCGCUACAGCUGGAGCAGCACCCUGAGCCUCCCUGCAGACCAGUGGAGGAAGGCGGGCUCAGUGAGCUGUGAGGCCAAUCAGAGUGGACAGAGUCCUGUCACUCAAACCCUGGAGCCUGACCGCUGCUCAGAGUAGAGCUGCAGCUUCAUGGCUGGAAACCAUCAUGUUGUCGUGUUUUAUUCACAAACAUUACUUUUCACCUUUCAUUCGUCUUCCUUAUGUUCUCUCAUGUAACUUGGAGUAAAUGGAUUGUUUCAAUAAAAGUGCAGAUUUAUGUCAA